UUUUGGAUAAUCGCGUGAUGGAUUGCCAUCAUGAGGAAAGUCCAUGCUAGCACUGGCUGUGAUGCCGGUAGUGUUUGUGCUAGGCGAAUCAAUAAGCCUAGGGAGGUAGCUAUACCUUACGGCAAGCGAACGAGCUAAGUCUUCGGAUAUGCUUUAAUAGCUUUGAAAAGUGCCACAGUGACGUAGUUUCUAGGGAAACUUAGGAAGUGGAACGCGGUAAACCCCUCAAGCUAGCAACCCAAACUUUGGUAGGGGCACGGGAUAGUAGGAAGCAGAACAAUCUAUCCUGACUGUUUUACAGUAGACAGAUGAUUAUCGAAGGAGGCAAGUUCCUAGUUGCCUCUGGAACAAAACAUGGCUUACAG
rnacentral:RNase_P_RNA from 1 species